GUUGAAACACCUGUUCCCGUACAAUCACCGAAGUUAAGCAACGUUGAGUCUCGUCAGUAACUAGAUGGGUGACCGCUUGUUAAUAUCAGUUGAUG